UUUGAAAUUUACCAGUAGCUGCUGCCUUUUCCACCUUUGGCUUAUACUUGAGUCAGUAAGUUUCCCCAGUUUUUUGUGGUAAACUUAGGUGCCUCGGCUUACAUUAGGGUCGGCUUAUACUCAGUAUAUACAGUAGUUCUGGAGCACACAAAUGGAAAUAAACAUCUCUGUAUAGUAUGAUGCCAUUCCAAUCUCCUUGAGAGAGAACUGCCCCAGCUUUUCUAGAUGGAGGCCUGGCAUACAAUUCUGCCCUAUUUUAAAAGCUGGGGCAAUACUACCUACUUCUAGGCCUGAAUCAACAACAAGUGCAGGAAGAGUUGAAAAAUGUGUUUGCAUGAAAAGUAAUACUUCAUAUGAAGAGUUUUAAAGCCAAGGCAUUUUUUGCCAAAGAGUUGAGGUUACAAUUGUACCCAUGCCUUGGUUAAUCACCUCCAUAAAGGUGCCACGCUGCAUCCCUAGCAACCCUCCAUCCUUCCCACGCUGUCCUGUUGUCAUGGCAGCAGAACGUUGUGUUGCUAUGUGGGAGAUGGUAGCAAUUGUCUAGAGCAGCAGAUGCAGCAAAGACUAGUGUGGAAGGAAGGGAGCAAGAUGGGGAGAGUGGCAAAGACACGUGCCUUUCAGUGGGAUCAAAGUCACACAAGAGGUUUGCUGGCCAUCUACUGACAGGCAGUAUACCAUCCCUUCUAGCAUUUCACAGAUGAAAAUUGGAACACGUGUAACCAAGCAACAUCAUUAUGUGGUCAGAAUGGCAAAAGUAAUGAUGAAGAACAUACAAGCUACUGAAGUUAAAGCAACUUGCUUUUGCCUGAGCCUACUGGAAAGGGCAAGAUCCUGCACUCUCCCCUCCUCUCUCACAUGAACCCAGCUGUAGUGCAGAAACUCGGAUCCUGAGAAGGGCUCCUAGCCUAGCUUCAUCAGAGUUGCUGCAUAUGCCUAUAUGGUAUUGUCCUCAUUUCCAGACCAUCCUACUGUGAACCCAGUGAAGUUUAAUUUACCAAGCACUGAGCUAACACCUUAUAAUAGUGAGAGACUGAGAUAUGAACUAGGGUGUUUAUUUAAUCAUUUUGUGUGGAAUAUGAAGAAAUGUAUGAAUGUGAGUUCUUCCCAACUGAAAGAACAUUCUCAUCAUUCUCUGUCAGGCAGCAUUUUUGAUUAUUGCAUGUAGAGCAUGAAGAUCUGUAUAUAGUACUUUACAUUCAGUUUUGAAUGCCCUUAUGAAAUUCCUGGAUCAGAAAUCUGAUCUUAUCAGAUCACCAAUCAUGGGAGCCAUUUUCAUCCUAGUGCAGUUACAGAUUCAUGUACAAAUUUUCAUGGUCGACCUUCUGAGAUUUAGAAUGCUGCUCAAUAUACCGUUGCAAGGAAAGGGCUUACAUUUGUGUUCAUAUUUUAAUGUUAAACUUAAGUACAAGCUGGCAAUCUUAAAAAAGAUACUUCAAAAAGCUAUCCAAUCACAUAACAUCAUUAGCCUUGACACAUACGGCAAGUCCUGAGAUAGCAGAAAACAGACACUUGCUUUCUAAAGCCCCUAAUCGUUGCUUCUCCUAGAUGUCCAUAUCAUUUUGCUUUGUCUCCUUCUGCACAUCAAAAUUUCUUUAAAACCUUUAAAUUUGCCACUGCUUACAGAUUGAAGCACUGUCUGUAAUAAAUUAAGGAAGGCUUUA